GAUGAACGCUGGCGGCGUGCCUAAUACAUGCAAGUCGAGCGAACGGACGAGACGCUUGCUUCUCUGAUGUUAGCGGCGGACGGGUGAGUAACACGUGGAUAACCUACCUAUAAGACUGGGAUAACUUCGGGAAACCGGAGCUAAUACCGGAUGAUAUUUUGAACCGCAUGGUUCAAAAGUGAAAGACGGUCUUGCUGUCACUUAUAUAUGGAUCCGCGCUGCAUUAGCUAGUUGGUAAGGUAACGGCUUACCAAGGCAACGAUGCAUAGCCGACCUGAGAUGGUGAUCGGCCACACUGGAACUGAGACACGGUCCAGACUACUACGGGAGGCAGCAGUAGGGAAUCUUCCGCAAUGGGCGAAAGCCUGACGGAGCAACGCCGCGUGAGUGAUGAAGGUCUUCGGAUCGUAAAACUCUGUUAUUAGGGAAGAACAUAUGUGUAAGUAACUGUGCACAUCGUGACGGUACCUAAUCAGAAAGCCACGGCUAACUACGUG
rnacentral:rRNA from 1 species